CAGUCGCCGCGGGAAAACGGAGGGGGCUAGCGUUGUUCGGAAUUACUGGGCGUAAAGCGCACGCAGGCGGUCUGACAAGUCAGAUGUGAAAUCCCCGGGCUUAACCUGGGAACUGCAUUUGAAACUGUCAGGCUGGAGUCUUGUAGAGGGGGGUAGAAUUCCAGGUGUAGCGGUGAAAUGCGUAGAGAUCUGGAGGAAUACCGGUGGCGAAGGCGGCCCCCUGGACAAAGACUGACGCUCAGGUGCGAAAGCGUGGGGAGCAAACAGGAUUAGAGACCCCUGUAGUCCCUGUCUCUUAUAC
rnacentral:rRNA from 1 species